GCUGGGAUGGUGGAAUUGGUAGACACGCACGUUUGAGGGGCGUGUGGCGCAAGCCUUACGGGUUCAAGUCCCGUUCCCAGCA
rnacentral:tRNA from 1 species